AGCAGCCGCGGUAAUUCCAGCUCCAAUAGCGUAUAUUAAAGUUGUUGCAGUUAAAAAGCUCGUAGUUGAAUUUCGGGAUCAAUAUGUCGGUCGUGCCUCCGGUACGUACUGGCAUCAUUGAUUUCUCCCUUCUGACGAACCAUGAUGUCAUUAAUUUGGUGUCAUGGGGAGUCAGGACUGUUACUUUGAAAAAAUUAGAGUGUUUAAAGCAGGCUCACGCUUGAAUACAUUAGCAUGGAAUAAUGAAAUAGGACGUUUGAUCCUAUUUUGUUGGUUUCUAGGAUCGACGUAAUGAUUAAUAGGGAUAGUUGGGGGCAUUAGUAUUCAAUUGUCAGAGGUGAAAUUCUUGGAUUUAUUGAAGACUAACUACUGCGAAAGCAUUUGCCAAGGAUGUUUUCAUUAAUCAAGAACGAAAGUUAGGGGAUCGAAGACGAUCAGAUACCGUCGUAG
rnacentral:rRNA from 1 species